CGAGAACCUUUUUCGACAAUUAUUAUUUUUUAUCGGAAAGCUGGUCCCAUACUAACUUGGUUUCGUUUCGAUCGUAGGAUCAUGUAGAAAUUUACGGUACUCCUAUAUUUUUAUAUGAGCAUUGAAGUCGGUUUUCUUUUUUGCUUAAAAAUUACUUGUUGUGUAUUGAAAAGUG